CCUACGGGAGGCAGCAGUGAGGAAUAUUGGUCAAUGGACGCAAGCCUGAACCAGCCAAGUCGCGUGAGGGAAGACGGCCCUACGGGUUGUAAACCUCUUUUGCCGGGGAGCAAGCCUGAGCACGUGUGCCCAGGCGGAGAGUACCCGGAGAAAAAGCAUCGGCAAACUCGUUGCCAGCAGCCGCGGUAAUAGGGGGAAUGCGAGGGUUAUCCGGAUUAAUGGGUUUUAAAGGGUGCGCAGGCGGGCUGUUAAGCCGGCGGUAAAAAUCCAGGGCCAAACCUGGUCGUGCCGUCGGAACUGGCAGUCUUGAGAGGGCGAGAGGUAGGCGGAAUGUGUGGUGUAGCGGUGAAAUGCAUAGAUAUCACGCAGAACGCCGAUUGCGAAGGCAGCAUACCG
rnacentral:rRNA from 1 species